GACGCACUCUCAGAGUUUGAUCCUGGCUCAGGAUGAACGCUGGCGGCGUGCUUAACACAUGCAAGUCGAACGAGAAUUACAUUUAGAGAGCCUUCGGGAAGGAAGAAUGUAAAUCUAGUGGCGGACGGGUGAGUAACGCGUAGGUAAUCUGCCUUAUCCACAGGAAUAACACAAAGAAAUUUGUGCUAAUACCAGAUAAAAUAUCAAAUAAGCAUUUAUAUGAUAUCAAAGAGCAAUCGGGAUAAGAUGAGCCUGCGACUGAUUAGCUAGUUGGUGAGAUAACAGCCCACCAAGGCAACGAUCAGUAGCCGACCUGAGAGGGUGAUCGGCCACAUUGGAACUGAGAGACGGUCCAA
rnacentral:rRNA from 1 species